AACUUUCGGCAACGGAUCACUUGGCUCUCGCAUCGAUGAAGAACGCAGCGAAUUGCGAUAAGUAAUGUGAAUUGCAGAUUUCCAGUGAAUCAUCGAAUCUUUGAACGCACCUUGCGCCCUUUGGCUAUUCUGAAGGGCAUGCCUGUUUGAGUAUCAUGAACACCUCAACUCUCAUGGUCCGCCAUGAUGAGCUUGGACUUUGGGGGUCUUGCCGGCCUGGUGUCGGCUCCUCUCAAAUGGAUCAGCUUGCCAGUGUUUGGUGGCGUCACAGGUGUGAUAACUAUCUACGCUUGUGGUUUUCUGCCAUAUAACCUUCAGUGAUGGAGGUUUGCUGGGGCUUACAAACGUCUCUCCUUAGCGAAGACAGCUUUUGAACGUUCGAUCUCAAAUCAGGUAGGACUACCCGCUGAACUUAAGCAUAUCAAUAAGCGGAGGCU
rnacentral:misc_RNA from 1 species